AGAGUUGAUCCUGGCUCAGGAUGAACGCUAGCGACAGGCUUAACACAUGCAAGUCGAGGGGCAGCAUAGAAGUAGCAAUACUUGGUGGCGACCGGCGCACGGGUGAGUAACGCGUAUGCAACCUACCUAUCAGAGGGGAAUAACCCGGCGAAAGUCGGACUAAUACCGCAUAAAACAGGGGCACCGCAUGGUGAUAUUUGUUAAAGAAAUUCGCUGAUAGAUGGGCAUGCGUUCCAUUAGGUAGUUGGUGAGGUAACGGCUCACCAAGCCGACGAUGGAUAGGGGAACUGAGAGGUUGGUCCCCCACACUGGUACUGAGACACGGACCAGACUCCUACGGGAGGCAGCAGUGAGGAAUAUUGGUCAAUGGGCGGGAGCCUGAACCAGCCAAGUCGCGUGAAGGAAGAAGGAUCUAUGGUUCGUAAACUUCUUUUGCAGGGGAAUAAAGUGCAGGACGUGUCCUGUUUUGUAUGUACCCUGAGAAUAAGGAUCGGCUAACUCCGUGCCAGCAGCCGC
rnacentral:rRNA from 1 species